AGAAUCAACGCUGGCGGCGUGCCUAACACAUGCAAGUCGCACGAGAAAGGGUAGCAAUACCUGAGUAAAGUGGCGCACGGGUGAGUAACACGUGAAUGAUCUACCUCCGAGUGGGGAAUAACUGAGAGAAAUCUUAGCUAAUACCGCAUAACACUUACGAGUCAAAGCAGCAAUGCGCUUGGAGAGGAGUUCGCGGCCGAUUAGUUAGUUGGCGGGGUAAUGGCCCACCAAGCGAUGAUCGGUA
rnacentral:rRNA from 1 species